UCAAAUUCGAUAUGAUUGUUGCAGAACAUUUUGGCAGUGAUUUUCAUUGUACAACUUCUAUUGGUCUUUAUCCAUAGCACUGUCUCAAUUUAUUGACUUCCCAAUUUAUCGUGCAUAAACUGAGAUUUGAAAAACAUGUGUUGGAUUUUGCCUUUUGACCCACUUUUGUGUUUACUUAUUCCACUCACUAUAUGAAAUGUGUGAUUUUUUUUUUGUGGCUAUUCCUGAUGAAUGAAGAAAUCCACCAUUAAUGAGCUGCCGAUUACUUCCAUUAUUUUCCCUGUCUAUUGUUUUUGAAAUAUAUUGCAAUUUGUUUAAUUUUGCAGAUCUAUUAUAUGCUUAUGAAUGGCGUGGCUGGAGCUUGGAAAGAAGAGAAUUUAUAUGAAUAUUUCUAGAGCUUUGAAUACAUCUUCAUUUAGGCUUGUGGCAGGGUCAAGCAGUGGACCUAUUUAACUUUUAUGUGCAUAACAUCCUUGACCAGCAGCCAUUCAUAGCCCCGAAAGCAAUGACAUUGUUUUGGAAAUUUUUUCGUUUAGGUUGGUUUAUGUUUCUAACAUUCUUUGGUACAUUUCCACAUGUAAUUCAUGGUUAAACCUAAUGCUUAGUUGCAAAACCUCAUUAUUUGUGCUAAAUUGUGGUCUGAGGGACGAGGUGGAAUGUUGAAUGUGUUCCAUUAUUAACAAUCUAUUAUAACGAGUCACCUUCAUUGUACUCUUAGUUGGAACACUUAAUGAUAAUUAUGAUUUUUGAUGAGUUGCACCUUU